rnacentral:tRNA from 1 species
GCGGAUGUGAUCUAGGGGUUAUGAUUAGAGCCUUCCAAGCUCUCAGCCCGGGUUCAAAUCCCGGCGUCCGCA